UACAGGGGGUGCAAACGUUGCUCGGAAUCAUUGGGCGUAAAGCGCGCGUAGGCUGCCAGAUAAGUCCGGUGUGAAAGUCAAAGGCUCAACCUUUGAAUGCCGCUGGAAACUGUCUGGCUAGAGUCCGGAAGGGGCGAGUGGAACUCCUGGUGUAGCGGUGAAAUGCGCAGAUAUCAGGAAGAACACCAAUGGCGAAGGCAGCUCGCUAGGACGGUACUGACGCUGAGGCGCGAAAGCGUGGGGAGCAAACAGG
rnacentral:rRNA from 1 species